UCCCCAGCAGUCCAGUGGUUAGGACUCCUUGCUUCCACUGCAGGGGACAUGGGUUCAAUCCCUGGCUGGGGAA
rnacentral:tRNA from 1 species